rnacentral:rRNA from 1 species
GACGUAGGGCGCGAGCGUUGUCCGGAUUUAUUGGGCGUAAAGGGCUCGUAGGCGGUUUGUCGCGUCGGGAGUGAAAACACCGGGCUUAACUCGGUGCUUGCUUUCGAUACGGGCAGACUAGAGGCAUGCAGGGGAGAACGGAAUUCCUGGUGUAGCGGUGAAAUGCGCAGAUAUCAGGAGGAACACCGGUGGCGAAGGCGGUUCUCUGGGCAUGUCCUGACGCUGAGGAGCGAAAGUGUGGGGAGCGAACAGG